rnacentral:rRNA from 1 species
UGGGGAAUAUUGCACAAUGGGCGCAAGCCUGAUGCAGCCAUGCCGCGUGUGUGAAGAAGGCCUUCGGGUUGUAAAGCACUUUCAGCGGGGAGGAAGGCGAUAAGGUUAAUAACCUCAUCGAUUGACGUUACCCGCAGAAGAAGCACCGGCUAACUCCGUGCCAGCAGCCGCGGUAAUACGGAGGGUGCAAGCGUUAAUCGGAAUUACUGGGCGUAAAGCGCACGCAGGCGGUCUGUCAAGUCGGAUGUGAAAUCCCCGGGCUCAACCUGGGAACUGCAUUCGAAACUGGCAGGCUAGAGUCUUGUAGAGAGGGGUAGAAUUCCAGGUGUAGCGGUGAAAUGCGUAGAGAUCUGGAGGAAUACCGGUGGCGAAGGCGGCCCCCUGGACAAAGACUGACGCUCAGGUGCGAAAGCGUGGGGAGCAAACAGG